CAGUAGCGUAUAUUAAAGUUGUUGCAGUUAAAAGCUCGUAGUUGGAUUUCUGGUGGAUCAAGAUGGCCCGGUGCCUCAAUGGCUGCUGAGUGCCGUUUUUUGGUUUACCAUCCUUCCAGAGAGUUGUGCCUACCGCUAGUCGGCCGGGCGCUGCGAUCUGGAUCAUUUACUUUGAAAAAUUAGAGUGUUUCAAGCAGGCUUACGCUUUGAAUACAUUAGCAUGGAAUAAUAAUAUAGGACUUUGGUUCUAUUUUGUUGGUUUCUAGGACUGAAGUAAUGAUUGAUAGGGAUAGUUGGGGGUGCUAGUAUUCAGCGGCCAGAGGUGAAAUUCUUGGAUUCGCUGAAGACUAACUACUGCGAAAGCAUUCACCAAGGAUGUCUUC
rnacentral:rRNA from 1 species